CUCUAAACAAAAUGAUGUUUUCCAACACUGCCAGCAAGCAAACUUGGCUCUGAAAAUUGCAACAGUCGAUAAUGUCUGCUACCAACUCUCAAUGCAUGCUUUUCCCCACAAGGCUAUCUGUUUUUUUGCAACUAUUCGGUUCGCAAAUUCCAAUGAUAUACAGCCGUAAUGCAUUUCAGUUCCCACUUGUCACAAUUUUAAAUAAACCGCGUUUGGACCCAUCGCUCACUGCAAUCGAUAGGGAUGGGGUUUUGGAUGGAGAAUAUUAAAUAUUACAUAAAUGUUGUUAAUAUCCGAAAGAGUAUAAAUGCAACAGCAAAAAAUAUUACGGAAUGUAUACUCGGAAUAAUAAGUGAUUAAAACAGAAUAAAUAGGCAUGCACAUUAAAUCGCCUUUUAUUCAAUGUAUCGAUACGAACUAUCGAUAUAUUUUGUCACAGCCGACUUUCCAUUGAAGAGUGCCACGAGAAAUUGUGCUUAAAGCUAACGAUUUGCUAAAGAAAACGAAAAAAAGUAAGUUAAUAGAAUGUACGGAAUACAAAAACUAUAUAAAUAAACACCACAGAUAAAUCCAGGAACGAAAAUGAACAGCCAGGCAAGCCACGGAUCCUCAACGUCUUCCGGCGCCGCUAAGAGACGCCACAGCGCCGAGCACGAGCCGGUGCACGAGUUUGGCGAACAAGUCUGGGCUGACCUGAACAGCCUGUGCAUGGACGAGCACUUCUCGGACGUGUCUUUCAUUGUGGAGGAUCAGCGCGUGCCGGUGCACCGCAUUAUUCUAGGAAAGCGCAGUAAUGACUUCCGCGACCUACUCUGCGGUGACACGGCCGAGUGCGAGGGACAGAUCGGAGUGGAUUCGCUGGAGGCAUUCAAAAUAGUCCUGGGCUACCUUUACUCGGGCACUCUGCCCAUAUCCACACUGGACCAGGAAUGCCAUCAUCCAAGUUCUCGGCCUGGCCAAUCGGUUUGGUUUGCUGGAAGUCGAGUCGGAAAUAGCCAAACCCCUGGAGGAGAAUCUGGCCGUCAGCAACGUUUUCACAAUCCUGAAUCAUAUUCCUGACCUUGAAAUGCCUCGAUUUCGUGGACAAACUUACAACUUACUGCUGGAACACGACUCCUUCCAAAUGCUGUCCAAGUCUUCGCUUGAAGAAGUCCUGCGACGGGACACUUUCUGUGCCAGCGAGCUGGACAUAUUUCUAGCGGUAAGGGAAUGGUGUCGCAACAAGCCGCGCGCGUUCUUCAAGUCGGUGGUCUCGCUUGUGCGCCUCUCUCUGAUGACUGCCGAUGAUCUCCGUCACUCCAGCAAAAGCGCUCUGCUCGUAGAAGAGCGUAGAGAGUAGAGUAAGAGAGUAGAAGAGCGAUCGGACGCCUGAAGGUUUUAAAUGAUGUGACGCUUAAAGCCCUUCUAAACACCAGUCUGGAAAUAUAACCAUAUUCCUUAGACGAUCGAUCCACUUGGCGACUGUUUGAAGUAGCGACGCCUGAGUGAGGAUUUAACGAGUUGUUCCUUUUCUUUUUCAUUUAAAUGGAUUGCAUAUUUUUAUUUGAACUUUAACUAACUUCGUGGAACGAAUUAAAUUCUUAUAACUACAGAUGAAUACACAUUUUGUAUUAAAUAUUUUAUAGAAUUUGUCUUGUUCGAUUUCCAAGAUCCAAUGUUUUAUGGAAUUGGAUGACGAAACUCCUGAGCGGAACCCACAAGUUCUCAGAGCUGGCCAUCCAGCCAGGAUCGGGCAGAUCCCUGCCGCAACGGCAACACCCUCUCAGAGGCGACCACCAUAUCAGGACGAUCUGUGGCAUCCACAAUUUUGAAGGUAAGGUAAAACCGAUAGCGCAGAAUCAUAGACAUCAUUGCUAAUAUUGACCAUUUUAGUGCUUACGCAACCCCCAGCCACGCGCUUACUCAUCCUCUCCCUCAGACACUCUUCCUGGUGCAGUGUGUGGCAUCUGGCGGAAAGGAACCCACAUAUUGACUGAGCGACUGAUUACCCAAGAGAUUAGAUUGGAUUCUGGAGAAGGGAUCGGCCCAUUUUAAGGACUACAAUUCCCUUUGCACUGCCCAU
rnacentral:misc_RNA from 1 species